rnacentral:rRNA from 1 species
GACGAACGCUGGCGGCGUGCUUAACACAUGCAAGUCGAACGGCAGCACGGGGGCAACCCUGGUGGCGAGUGGCGAACGGGUGAGUAAUACAUCGGAACGUGCCCAGUCGUGGGGGAUAACUACGCGAAAGCGUAGCUAAUACCGCAUACGAUCUAUGGAUGAAAGCGGGGGAUCGCAAGACCUCGCGCGAUUGGAGCGGCCGAUGGCAGAUUAGGUAGUUGGUGGGGUAAAGGCCUACCAAGCCGACGAUCUGUAGCUGGUCUGAGAGGACGACCAGCCACACUGGGACUGAGACACGGCCCAGACUCCUACGGGAGGCAGCAGUGGGGAAUUUUGGACAAUGGGCGCAAGCCUGAUCCAGCCAUUCCGCGUGCAGGAUGAAGGCCCUCGGGUUGUAAACUGCUUUUGUACGGAACGAAACGGCCUGGGUUAAUACCCUGGGUUAAUGACGGUACCGUAAGAAUAAGCACCGGCUAACUACGUGCCAGCAGCCGCAGUAACAC